ensembl:lncRNA
CCAGCGAGCUGCAGGGUGCGUCACUGGGUAGUCUUCUGAAUCGAUCCACCAGCUGAGGGGCUGCAGUGGAUGAUGACUGGUUGAAGCAGCCUCGCCUGGCCUGGUCUGACUGGACUCUAGGGCUGGUUGAAGCAGCCUCACCUGUAGCAGUAAUCAGUGAGCACAGGAGCCCACAGAAGUCUCCGAGCAGGAGCAACAGCCAGGUGGAGUACAGCACUGUACUGCUACACCAACGCAGAACGCUUCAUUUGUCUUGUGUGUACAAUACCUCAAUGUAACACUGUCGUUUUUUAUGGGUCGUCUUGAAAAAAAACAUGAG